GGUGCUGUGAAUCUAAGCCUGGUUAAACCAAAAUCUAAUUUAUUUUCAUGCUUGAUUGGGAGCACUUUUGAUUAAGUGUUUGGAUGAGAGUAAGCGUGGAAUAGUACUGUGGGAGCGAGAUAGUCCAGGGGCUACUUUGCCUGGGCUGAUUAUUAAGAGAGGGUUAAUAGUGAGGAGGGGGAAGGAAAAUAGGAGAGUUGGACCCCAGGACAGGAGUUUUUACUUCCUAUGGGUAGAUUUAAACUUAAAUUGGUAUCCCCCCUUUCCAGGAUGCUUUGAUGCAAGCAUGGGGUGGGAAGCAGUAUGCUUUCUGGUAUGAUUGAUAGAGUGACUUCUAAGACCGUUUCUCAUUUGGGGCUUCUGAGCUGCUUUUCAAAAUACUGUCUGGACAUACAUGUAAUUAUGGCCAAAGAAAGUGUCGCAUGCUGAUAAAGCUACCUUCCCACCCUUUAAUUUCCCAAAUGUCAAAGAUGGGACAUCUUCCGUAUUUGGCAGUAAAAUGUCCCAGCUAGCAGUGGUGAUAUCUUAGGGCUAGGGGAUGUGUUUAAUGACUAGGAAAGGCCUCUGUUUUUUGGCUGCCUUCUUGACUCACUUCUCCUCUGGGCCAAGUCACUUGAUGGGUCAACUCCGUUGGUCUUUCUGAAAAACUCUGUGUGGCAAAGUUGUGUGGAAAUCAUAGCUCUGCCACUUCUUAGCUCAGCAAUGUGGGGAAAGUUAGUUUUCUGGGCCACACAUUACCUACUACAAAAUGGUAAUGAUAAGUUAGACAAUAAUAACUUAGACAGAUGUUGUGAAGACAUAGCGUAUGUGGUGCUUAUCAAAGUGCCUGGUAAAUACUGUUUGUUAACGCUUACAGUAAUAGUGUUAUUAUUUUGCUACUACAAACAGAACAUUAUUGGCUGUGGUUUUAAUGGACACUAAAAUAAUUUAAGAGUAAUUCUUUUUUUUUUUUUGCCUUUUAGGCCUGAACCUGCGGCAUGUGGAAGUUUCCAGACUAGGGGUCGAAUUGGAGCUAGUGCUGCCAGCCUAUACCACAGCCACAGCCACGAGGGAUCUGAGCCACGUCUGUGACCUACACCACAGCUCACAGCAAUGCCAGAUCCCCCACCCACCAAGGAAGGCCAGGGAUCAAACACGCGUCCUCACAGACGCUAGUGGAUACUAUUCAGAUUCGUUUCCGCUGUACCACAGCGGGAACUCUCUAAAAGUAAUUCUUAAGUGGAGUCAGAUUUUUCAUGAAGACGAUAUCCAGGAAUCCUAAGAGUCUCACGGCCUGCUGAUGGUUUUCCUCUGGACCUUAAUGCCAAAAGCUCAUUAUCUGGGAAAACGUUCUUCCAAAUAUUGGCAAGUCUUAGAAAAGAAAGUUAUUUCCUUUUUUGGAUUGGUAGAACCACAUGUUAAUGAGCUAACAAGUGGCAGUACUAAUUGCUUUUGAUUUGUAUUUAUUUAUUUUUGGGCUCAGCCUGCAGCGGCUUAAUGUGGGAUCUCAGUUCCCAGACCAGGGAUUGAACCUGGGCCACACUAGUGAAAGCACCAAAUCCUUACCACUCGACCACCAGGGAACCAGUUGCUUUUUAAAUUUCAUUUUGCUGAUCAUUUUUAUUUAAUUUGUCCUAAUUUCGUCCCAGCCGAAGUACUCUCAGACGGUCUGUGCCUGAGAUUGACCUUAGGACAACCAUCCUAGUUGAUAGCAUAAUAGGGAGAGGGAAGGCACGGCAGGCCACUGCCCACGCCCAGAGUACGGAUUGCAUUGCAGAGAGACACAUGAUGUUCAUGUGUUGCAUAACUAUUUCUUUCACAGAGAUAAGGGUUUUUUUUUUUUUUUUUUUUUUUUUUCUGUUUGGGGCUACAUGCACAGCAUAUGGAAGUUUCCAGGCUAGGGGUCAAAUAAGAGCUACAGUUGCCUGCCUAUGCCACAGGUACAGCCACACAGGAUCCAAGCCACAUCUGCGACCUAUACCACAGCUCACGGCAAUAGCAGAUCCUUAGCCCACUGAGCAAGGCCACGGUUUGAACCCGAGUCUUCGCAGAUAUUAGUCGGAUUCGUUUCUGCUACACCACAACAGGAACUCCCCGGAGAUAAGGUUUUAUCAGUGAUGCACACUUUGUGAUCCCCUUAAAAGCUGUAAUCUGUUUACCGUAAGAAAGUUGCAGCAGCUCUUGGGGAGCUUUGCCUGGCGAGCAGUCACUGAUGAGGGAGGCUCAUCUGCUGAAGGAGAAGGGGAAGCCUUGGUAAGUGGGUUUGAGAGGACUUGGGAUGUGUGCCCGCCUCCCAGCAAUGAAGGCCGUGUCCAUUUCUGUUUACAGCUAACUCUUCCACUUGGAAGAAUUUUUUAAAAGCAAGGUUUUGUCUAAUGGUCAGAAAGGAGAAAGUGGUGCAACAUUCUCUCUUGGGCUUCGAAGUUGUUAGACAGUUUGAUCAUAUGCUCAAGAGCAUAUACUUGAGAGCCAUGGGAAGGAAACGCGCAUGAGCCAUAGACCCAAAUCCUGGGCUCUGAUGUCUCACUUUUGGUUCCCUUGAGCUCCCAUCUCCGGCUUAUCUCUAAGAAGGCUCCUACAGUGAAGUUACUCGUUCCUGUGGCUUUAGCGCCCAUCUCUAAGCUGUUGCCUCACAAGUCCGUAUCUCCAACCCAGAUCCAUGCGAAUACCUGACAGGUAAAAGGAGAAGUGCAGGUCUUGUGUAAUACAGAAGCUUCUGGAGUCAGUGUUCUUUGUCCUCCUCCCUCCUGCCUCUCGUAUGAAGACUCAUGCCAGGCUCCAGGAGGCCUUUGUCAUCUCCCAGUUAAUGCUGUGUCAAGCCUCCUGUGAUGUCUGGCAACACUGCCUGCUCCUCUGACUUAAUCCUGAGCGCUCUGUCGUCUGAUCUUUCACGGAUUUCUCUGUCUCAGAGGCUUACCUGGUAGGGGAGUGGCCAGGGGCUGGAGAAAUGUAUUAUUCUCAGAGCCCAUUAUUGCAGUGUGGUUGCCAGGACACGUGGCAGUUAUGAAUGAGAAAAAGAUGCAAGGAGACUCAAAGAUAGAAGGCAAUGCUUUUGUACCAGUUAGUGCUGCGAGCUUCCCCGCUGCCCCCGCCCAGGCCCCCCCUCCUUGAAGUUACCCUACAUCUCCUUCUGAAAGCGAACACUUGGCCUGAGGAGCCCACCCAGUACAACUGGGGUUGGAGAGCUUUGCUUCUAGCUGAAUCUCAUGGGGUAUCUGAACCUGGCUCAGGAGACCGCUUGGAAGCAGGUCCUAGUCCUGGGAUGGUGGGAGUAGCUCCCAGAGCUAGAAUUAGACUGUGUUACCAUGUUAAAAAAGAUGAAUGUGAAGGAUGGCAGUGCAGAUAUUUUGUUGGAAUACUUCAAGUGAAGCAAUAUGGUGCAAAAUAACUUCUGUUUCAUCUUGCAAAUACUCCCUCCCUUUGUGCAUAUCAGAGGCUAAAUCUAUACUUUUAAAAACAUGUUGGAAUUCCCUGGUGUUCUAUGGGUUAGGGAUCCGGCAUUGCCGUGACCUGUAUGGUCACAGAUGUGGCUCGGAUCCCAAGUUGUUAUGGCUGUGGUGUAGGCCAGCAGCUGUAGAUUCAAUUCAGCCCCUAGCCUGGGAACUUCCAAAUGCCAUGGGUGCAGACCUAAAAAGCAAAAAAUAUAUAUAGGAGUUCCCAUUGUGGCUCAGUGGUAAAUAUCCCUACGACGAUCCAUGAGGAUGCAGGUUCAAUAUCUGGCCUCGCUCAGUGGGUUAAGGAUCCGGCAUUGACAUGAGCUGUGGUGUAGGUCAGCAGCUACAGCUCUGAUUAGACCCCUAGCCUGGGAACCUCCAUAUGCUGUGGGGGUGGCCCUGAAAAUACCCCCCCACACACACACACAAAGACAUAAGACUGUAAAUUUCUGGACAGCUUAAACUGGAGAUAAAUAUAGUAAUAAAAAUGAAGGCAGUUACAGUAUUUAGGAAUAGCGCUCAGAAGUGCUAAGGACUUUGCAUGAAUUUUUUAAAAGUGUCAUUUCCCUGCUUACAACCUUCAUUUCAUGGUACCCGCUCCUUAGCCCCUGGUGACAUCUCCAGCCAUAUCUGGCCACCUCUCCAGCCAUAUCUGGCCACUUCUCACUCUCACGUGCUGCCCUCCAGCCAAUGCAACUCCUUGCAAUACCUUCUAGGUGCCUGGUUGUGUCUUGACCUUAGAACUUCACAGUUGCUGUUGCUCUGCUGAUUCUCUACCCAUAUCCUCCACCUUCGCAUAUGUGCCUCCUGCUCAUCCUAUAGGACUUAGUUUAAGUAUUAAUUCACUUGAAAAUCUUCCCUGACAUUCUCAUCCUAGAUUCCACCCUCUCCCCUGUGCUCCCAUAGCAUUGGGCAUUUCUGCAGUAAUAGCACUUAAUACUUAAUACAGGUACCGGCCUGCAGAUUUGGUAGUUUCUACCAGAGUGGCUGCUGUUCACCAUUGAUCACUAGCACGUGUGUAGCACCUAGCCUUUAACAUCCCAUUUUGAAUGUGUGAGGUUGUUUAAACUUUGCAACAGUCUUGUGACAUAGGUCCCAUCCUUAGGGUCAUUCGGAAGCUCAGACAGAGAUUAAGGGUCUGGCCCAAGGUCAUAGAUCUAGUAGUUGGCAGGGCCAAGUUUAUCCUUGGAUCUGAUUUCAGACGUCUCUGCUGUUUGCAUGAUGCCUGUAGCCUUCUCUGACAAUGUGGUCAUGGCCAGUAGAACUGGCAUUGGUAAGACCUGGCCUUGCCGCGUAAGUUGGUAGGUUGCUGGGAGGGAGAGGCAUUAGGGCUGAUAUCCCAGUUUCUGAGAGGAUUGUGCUGAUGGGCGAGACUGGCGAUUUCCUGUAAAAUCCAGUUUGUGGGGAAUGAUGAGUCUGGACUUGGGCAUGCUGCAUUUGAGAUGUCUGUUGGUCAUCUAAGUGGACAUGUGGGCUAAUAGGGCUCAGAAAGAGGUCAGUUGGGCAAUCUUUGGUCGUCAUGGCUAUUCACUUACAGUGCAGACGAGUCGAAGGCUAAUGUUGUAGUUCAUUCCAGCCUCUCCACGGUAGGUGUGUGCCCUCAUGUACCCCACAGACGAGGAGUAGGAUGAAGAAGGCAGAUGGAGCUCUGUGUACUCCAGUGCAGGUCAGAGGACCACAGUCUCUGCUUUCUGGCAUUUUAUGUAUGUGUAAUACAUGCACACAAAUACAUGCUUCAGAAUCUGCCAUUAUAACUGAAACAGGUUGUGCUUUUUUAAGUCAUAUUUUUGAAAAAGUUGAAAGGAAAAUCCAGUUAGUUCAUCAUAUCACAUAAGCAUUUCUGUCUUUGAUUUUUCCUUAAGAAAGGGCAGGGUGAGGGGUAAGGGUUUGCUGGUAUGAUCACAGAAGUGAUGCAUGUGCUUAAUUUGGACGAUGAGUGAGUAAAAAAACUUACACUAUUAGGUAGUGUUUUGGUAUGUUCUCUUAGUUACUAAUAUUUUUAAAGGGAUUAUACUUGGGUUUUAUUAUGUUAUAUCAUAUUUUCCUCAAGUUUUCCUUGAUAUAUUUUCUUUUUUAAAAACUUGAGUUUUGGGAGUUCCCGUCGUGGCGCAGUGGUUAACGAAUCCGACUAGGAACCAUGAGGUUGUGGGUUUGGUCCCUGCCCUUGCUCAGUGGGUUAGCGAUCCGGCGUUACCGUGAGCUGUGGUGUAGGUUGCAGAUGCGGCUCGGAUCCUGCAUUGCUGUGGCUCUGGCGUAGGCUGGUGGCUAUAGCUCCGAUUCGACCUCUAGCCUGGGAACCUCCAUAUGCCGCGGGAGCGGCCCAAGAAAUAGCAAAAAGACAAAAAAAACAAAAAACAAAAAAAAAAAAACAAACUUGAGUUUUGGGAGUUCCCGUUGUGGUGCAGCGGAAACAAAUCCGACCAGUAUCCACGAGGAUGUGUGUUUGAUCCCUGGCCUCCAUCAGUGGGUUAAGGAUCCAGCAUUGCCAUGAGCUGAGCUGUGGUGUAGGUCGCAGACAAGGCUCAGAUCCCGUGUAGCUGUAGCUGUGAGGUAGGCUGGCAGCUAUAGCUCCAAUUUGAACCUCUAGCCUGGGAACUUCCAUAUGCAGCACCUGCAGCCCUAAAACGCAAAAAA
rnacentral:lncRNA from 1 species